rnacentral:rRNA from 1 species
UACAGAGGUCUCAAGCGUUGUUCGGAUUCAUUGGGCGUAAAGGGUGCGUAGGUGGCGCCGUAAGUCGGGUGUGAAAUUUUCGGAGCUUAACUCCGAAACUGCAUUCGAUACUGCGGUGCUUGAGGACUGGAGAGGAGACUGGAAUUCAUGGUGUAGCAGUGAAAUGCGUAGAGAUCAUGAGGAAGACCAGUGGCGAAGGCGGGUCUCUGGACAGUUCCUGACACUGAGGCACGAAGGCCAGGGGAGCAAACGGG